UAUUCCAGGCAUGGGAUGUCCACAUGUAUAGUAGGAAUAUACACGUGUGUAGGAGUUAUACACAUAGCACAUAUAUGUUACCUAUUAUUAUUAUUUCUCGGUCUCAUAGUAUUUCUAGGACUUGGACCUUGCCUACAAACCAUUCCACAGACAAAGGCACAGUGACCAAAGAUGAAAUGUCAAAUUAGGUGGGAACAGCCUCCACUUUGGAUGGAUGGAGAUCAUAAGGUGUCGUCUUGCUUUGUGUGUGAUUGUUGUGUUGCCUCCUCCACGAAGCCGGGAGCAUCUUGAGCACAGGCUCGACUCUGAGCAUCUCUGUCCCCCCAUGGUGCCUGCAGUUGGGCUCUGAGCCUGGAUGGAUGAUAGAAAGGGAGGACAGGGCGAUGGAGUGUGGCGCCAUCUUCCGGGCGGAUCCACCACCUGCAAGCACUGAAAAUGCAAAGGAAAACACGAGUGGUGAAUUCUGCUCUCGGCGCCCCAAGGUCCCCCACACAACACAAAGAUGCUCACUUAUUAAAUAUAUACGAAGCUUCUUUAUUUCACCUUAAUAAACUUUAUACUCUGAUUGCUUGCA